GUGCUAUAGUGCGAGAGGUCCCGGGUUUGCGCCCGCCCUCCGCCUGUGUGGAUUACCUCGCCCUGUGUGAUGUGCCUGUCUGUGGGAACCAGGAUCUCUACAAUAUAUACAUAUUUAGAUGUUAACAGAUAUUUACAUAUGAAAAGCACGUGGUGCUUUACUUUUUUAGAGGAUGCUGAAAGUACUGUACGUAAUCGAACGAGAGCUCGUCAAGCACAGUUAUGCUCUUUUCUGCAAAACCAGUGGAGACGCCGUUUUGCUUUUUCUGCACUGCUAAAUGCAGUGGCGACGAUCUGCAGUAGCAUGAUCGAAACAUUUAGGCGAAAACACACGGAGAUGAGACGGCUGCUGAGCUGUAAAUUAACCUGGACCUCAUUAAGAAGCUAUAGAUGCCUUUAUAGAAGAAGAAUGGAACAAAGCCAAGCAAGUGGCCAAGGAACUUGAACCAAGGAAUGAAGAUUUAUGUGGAUCAGCGCUACAAAGAAAAUUUAAAGAACCAAGCCAAAGUUGACUCAGUACGUGACUCAUUUUUCGGUUUUGUAUCUUACUAUGAAAAACAAAUCAUGCAGUUAAGGUAUUCGUGAUAUUGAAAACAAGAAAUUGUAUAGCUUUAGGAAAAAAAAUGUAACGGGUUGAUGAAAUAUUAAAUAAGAAUUCUGUC